rnacentral:lncRNA from 1 species
CUUCUCAGAAUGCUGUUGCUAGAGAUGGCAGUGUGGAGAGAGCUAGCCCCAACCCUCAACCCAUGCCCUUCUCUUCUCAGCCCAGGCUCCAUCUGCACCAUGAGGAGCAGUGUGUGUGUGUGUGGACACCUAGCCCAUAAGUGCAAGCUGUUGUCACCCACUCUCUCGUGAACUGUCACUCUCUGACACACCUAAAGGGAGAACAGAUGCAGGGAAGAGACCUGUGCAGGUAAUCCAGAUCUGAGCUCAGAGUGCUGUUCUGGAGUCUCUGUUACUCCAGUCUAGCCCUGUUGCACAGUGGUAUUGACACGAAGUCCUUGGAAACCACCAAUCAUUCUCCAGGGCCAUGAGUUGCUGAGGGAAUAUGAAAGACAUUUUCUUUCAGGAAGAGUGGCCCAUCAGAACUCUGAAGGAGCUGUUCCCUGAAUACGGAUGGAGAAAUUGAUCCACGUGGCACAAAGGGUGCACAAUAGCGGAUUCCUCAGGGCACCAAUGGGUUACUCAGAUCCUCCUUCAAGCCAGGCCUUGCUGCUCAUCUGCAAGGAGUAUGUUUAGCUGAUAGUCUCCAGCUUUAGCUCCUUCAGGAUCCGCCCCACGGUUUGAGCUGAAGUCACACAUUUCUUCAUGGCCGCCACCAAUGACCAAGCAAGGCAGGAGUACAAGGGCCUGGGCCUUUCUGCCCAAGGCUAGACUCCUGCUCCCCAUCGGGCUGGCAGAGACUUUGUCAAGUCUGCACCACCAUCUGACAGCUCACACAGAUCAGUCCUGCCUCUUCCGUUGACUUUCUCUGUUUUACGCUCCAGGAAAUCUUCUGUACUCUUAAUUCCAUAUCAGUAUCUGCUUCUCGGAGAAGCCAACCUGUGACAACACAAAUUUUAGUAUUUCCCCAAAUGUCUGCUUUUCCCUUCCCACAACCCCCUACAUGGUUUUACGUGGCCUUGAAUUGAUGGGAUUUUAUAACUCUAUUCCUAACCACUCUGGCCAAACCAUGCUCUUUCUUUUCUAAUCUCCUAUAAACCCA